rfam:Trichobilharzia regenti genome assembly, scaffold: TRE_scaffold0019225
AUCCAGCUGACGAGUUCCAAAUAGGACGAAAUGCGCAUCCUGGAU